GACGAACCGUACAAACGUUAUUCGGAAUCACUGGGCUUAAAGGGUGCGUAGGCGGCCCGGAAAGUUGGGUGUGAAAGCCCUCGGCUCAACCGAGGAACUGCGCCCAAAACUACCGGGCUCGAGGGAGACAGAGGUGAAUGGAACUUAGGGUGGAGCGGUGAAAUGCGUUGAUAUCCUAAGGAACACCAGGAGCGAAAGCGGUUCACUGGGUCUCUUCUGACGCUGAUGCACGAAAGCCAGGGGAG
rnacentral:rRNA from 1 species